rnacentral:lncRNA from 1 species
ACAUGCUGAACUGAGUUUAAAGUCUGCAGCUGGCUCCGGGUGACAUGAUUCAUGGCUUCCUGAAUCCAGCCGUCCAGUCCGCUUCGCUAUCUAAGUGGUCUCCAACAGGCAGAGAGCUAUUUGGCAACUCUAAAACAGUUUCUUGCCGGGACACUAGUUUGUGAAAUGGAAUAGCACCUAGGUGAAAUCUGAAAAAGAGAAAUCAAUGUGUCCAGCAUGAAAUGGGAAAUUUACUGAAGAAAUAAAAGGAUUGUGGGAACAAAGCCAAACUGAGACUCGGAAUUCAGAAAUUAAACUCCACAGGGCACAGUUGGCCGGCAGUGCUGUCAUGUCACCAGUUCAGUCUUUCCACAAGCACCUCCUCCACCACUCUGCGUCCCUGUCACCCAUUCUUUCCUGGCAGUGGUGCCCACAGGGGUGAGCGGCUAAUGCAAGCAGGUGGCAACUGUAUCCCUCACCCGGAGGCCCGUUCAGUCAUCAUUGAUCACUGAUACACAAUGCUUACCUGUAAAGCCACUGAUUCUGGGAGACAUCGCUGAUGCUAAGCAGGAGCUGGCCAAUAAACAAGGCAGAAGAGACCACGUGAGGUCACUGGGGGAUUCUGAAGUUACAUCUGCCAUGUGAGGUCCCGUCUUAGAUUAAAGUCAAGGAUUUUUAAUUUUUGAAAUUUUAAGAACUGCUUACCAAAGAGGAGACACAGAAGCCAAGAGCAAUGUUUCUAAGACUGAACCAACUGCUUCAGGGAAACACUGUCCUGGCUCUAACCUGCCCUCAUGGCCUGCUCCUGUCAGGCGCUGCAGCUACGAACACAUGGAAAGAGCGCGCCCCCUCGUGGAAGGUCCCUAUUACAGCAACAGUAGAUCUCUAGACCAUUGCCUGGCUCUCAGUUGAUAACCAGAUCAAGUUAGAACUAAGAAAGAGGUCAACUUGCCACUUUGGGACCCCCUUUGACAAUCAGCAAGCCUAACUGUGAACCUUAGAGGUGAUGUGAGAAUUUCUAAACAUGCUGCAAGAGGUAUUCUAGUUGGAGUGCUAAUAUCAAAAUAAAACUAUUCCAGUAAUAAU